rnacentral:tRNA from 1 species
GAGGGUAUAACUCAGUGGUAGAGUGACUGCUUAGUGUGCACAGGGUUCCAGGUUCAAUCCCCAGUAUCCUCA